AAAGUGGUUGGCUGCAGUUGUGUAGUGGU
rnacentral:piRNA from 1 species